UUCCAAGCAUGGGAAAAAUUAGGCAGAAGAAAGCAGCUUAUAAAUCGUAUGGGAAAACAAUGUUGUCAUUAUUAACGGGAAACCACCACUGAAGUUCGUUUGAUUAUUAGGUAGAUAUCAUCACCGUCCCUAAUGGCUUAACAAUUAAGCAGAAGAAGAUGUCAACAACAUAAAAUAAAAAAGAAUAAUCGAUCGAGGAGAAGGCUGGAAUAUUGGUUCCCAAAAACAAACAAGUCGGUUAAGGACGAUCUAUAAAUAUAGAAUGCCUUGUACAAAGAUCUCAUUCAACUCUCUAUUCCGCAUCAUCGAUACACUCGCAAUAUCUGAUCAGAACCAGAACUAGCCCGGCUAGCCCUUUCAAGACAAUACAUACAUACAUAAUCGCUGUUUCAUCUGUAAUCAUGGUGUAAUCGCCAUCAAAUUAUACAGCUAGCUCACCAUGAUAAUUGGCAUUAGCUCCAAAGACAUUUCUUUCCCUUAUAAGAAAAGAACAAGGUGGAGAUCUCCUUGCGGCUAGGACCUAAUUUGUUGCGCUACCUACGUACGUACCUACCGACGUCCCAAGAACAAUUAAACGAAUUAAAGCAAAGUGUUUCUUUGUCCAUGAGUUCCUUCCCGGCCAGGAUAACAGGCUCAUGAUCUGAUAAUCUCUAUCCAACAGCUCAUAUUUACGGAACUCGGCACCAUAUAGAUCGAACGUGGAAACAAGAAUCUUUGACGCGCAUAUAUAGAUAUGAAGUAUACCAAGAUUAAGCAUUUGAGCCACCCACACCAUGAUUUGAUGCUAAUCGAUUCCCCCCAAGAACCGUACCAGUGCGAUGGAUGCAAAGAAUUGGGUUUUAAACAAUGCUACCAAUGCGAAGACUGCAAUUUCCAUCUACACGAAGAAUGCGCGAUGCCCGACUCCUCUGCUUUCCACCGAUUAUUCCGUGAAUGUGACUUCAGAUUUUAUGAAAACGUGCCAGGAAAUAGGGCUAGAUACUGUGAUGCUUGUGGGAAGGAUGUGCUAGGGUUUGUUUACCAAUGUUUGCAUAAGGAAGCUCGUGACCUACACCCAUGUUGCAUGAAGCUUCAACGCACCUUGAUUAGUGAUGGGGUGAAACUGCAUCUCCGUGCCAAGGUCCGCUCAAAAUGCCUGAAAUGUGGAAGUAAGGAAAUUUCUAAAGGUUUCAGGGGCUGGUCCUAUGAAUCUGCCUGUGGCAGAUAUUGCUAUCAUGUAGCAUGUGUGAAGGACUUGGUCAUUGAGAAUUGGAGGAAGGGUUAUUUUGAUGGCCAUUAUGAUGUGAAUGAUCAGAUAUAUAGUAACAUGGCCAUUCAAAUUAAAGUUCCGAACGAGACCAUAGUACAACAAAGUGAAGGAAGCUCAUACAGACCAAAGAAAGCUAGCAAAUAUUGGAAGACAGCGAAAUUGGCUCUCAAACUCAUUAUUUCAGCUAUCUUUGGAGAUCCAAUUUCUGUGUUUGCUGCUUUGAUCGAAUCGUUAGUUUCCAACUGAUUUAUUUUGUGAAAUAGGAAUAUAGGAUGGAUAUUUGGUGUGAGAUUUUAUAUAUAUAUAUCUAUGUUUUUUUUUUUUUUUUGUGAAAACCAAUAAUUGAAACGGUGUAGUACAUGUGUAUGAUAUGAUUAUUUGUGCGUGGUUUUCUCUCUGGUCAUGUAUGAUUGGUCGAUCAUUGCAAAUCUGUAUUAGGGGUAUUUGUGAUGAUCAACAAAGAGAAUAACAUUCGUGUGUAUAUAUGAGAUAAUUUUAUAGAAAAAGAAAUCAUCUAGAGAUAUUAUCAUUCAUUUA